UCCCUGGUGGCUCAGAUGGUAAAGCAUCUGCCUGCAAUGCAGGAGACCCGGGUUCGAUCCCUGGGUUGGGAA
rfam:Ovis aries breed Texel chromosome 1, whole genome shotgun sequence.